GGGGAGGUUGGAUGCUAAAGCAAGGCACGAACACAGUAUCGCCCACGCUUCUGCAGCUCUCUGAGCCUCCUGGAAGCUGUCAGAUGCAGAGAGGAAUGUCCCCAGCCAGGCAAUGGUGCACCCAAGGCAGGCUCCGGGCUGGCUUGGUUCCUGUCCUCAUCCAGCAUGUUAUCUGCCCGCAGUGCUUUCCCCAGGAGCAUCCUUGAGCCUGUCCGGAAGAGUAAGCGAAGGAUGAAAAAUCACAGUAAUGGCCGAGGAGAUGGCAUCCACUUGACUUCUGUUGCCCACGGUGGGAGCAAUUAAUCUAGCGAAGGCAUUGUGGCGGGCUGACACCACAAGGUUACACCGCCCGAAGCCCCACAGCUCCAGGAGCCGAAGAUGAUGCUGGACCGGCAGCCCCGAGGUGUGUUCCCCCUCCCUCUCCCUGCCUGGCCUUUCAUCUGCUGCCGGGGAGGGGGUAAGAUACGGUUCGUGUUUGGGAGAUGGUUGAACCCAGGCUGGGGGAGCAGCGGGAGCCCCGUCGUCACUGAUGAGAUGUUUGCCGCGCGGUGGUGGGUGCUGCAUGCUGCCGAGACCUGCGCUGAUAAACCGAGCCUCCUGGAGACGGAGCGGCUUCUCUCUGCCACCGGCCUGUCGUCCGCUCCCUCUCAUCUCAUCUAACAGCAUCUCUCCUCCCAGCGCCACGGGAGCCGCCUCUGCCAAGGUCUGGUCCUGCCGACAAGCGGCGUGAAGUGGGAGCGGGUCUGGCUGUUGGUGGCCUCUGCUCGGAGGUCGUAGUGGGGCAGGGGGUCUCCAGGGGGGUGCAGGACACUGUAUCACAAAUACACGGGCUGUCACCUUCACAGAGAGGGUCUGAGCUUCCACACGGCUCCGGCAGAUGUUGGAGGAGACCCACCCUGCACCCCCGUUUGGCUGUGGCAAAGAUAACGAGCAGCUUGGAAGGACGGUUUUUGUUGGUAUGGUGAUGGCUGUUUACUAAAGGCUGCUGAAAGGGAAAAAGAACAAAGUCUUGGCCUCCCCGCCUGGGAGCACGACCUUUCUGUCCCUCAGACACGUGUCGCUGUGCGGGUGUCUGAGUCAUGGCAUCCCGGGAAGAUGCUGCCUGCGGUCCUGGGUGUGAGAAGCCACAAAGGCUGGGGGAUGCGGCGCAGACUGCGUUGAGGGGAUGGGUGUCUGCCUCUGCCCCGUUAUUUAUUAUGCCAUAAAAUCCAAGGUAAUGUACAUCAAUAAACGCCGCGAAGGGUUUCGCGCGUGUCAGCCGUUGCGUAUGUGAUGGAGCAGACGCUCUUUGAAGACAAAGGGCUCCGCCAGCGCAGGCUGCUGUGAUUGAUGGGGCAGCCUUCAGCUGCCUGCGCCUUCACCGGGCUGUGACACGGAGCCGCGUCCCCAGAGCGUCCGUCACCGGGGGCUGGGACAGCAGGGUCCCUCUCGGCGGUGGGGUCCCACCCGCGGGGGUACCAGGGCUCACGGGCCUGUGUGUGACAAUGGCUGAUGCCAUCCCCAAGGCUGGGUCAGAUGCCCAGGGAGCACUUCGGGAGCUUCUCGGAGGAGCCGAGGCUCCCACCGGCUGAUUUUCCCAGGAAACAAGAUGUGUGCCAUGGCGCUCUGUGCAUCUGACAGCUCCCCAGCCCCUUGGAUGAUCUCAGCCGCGUGUGACAGCAGAGCUGUCACCGAUGCUGACGGGAGAUGUUCCUACCCGGAGAUGUUCCCACACUGAGAUGUUCCCGUGAAACGUGCAGCCAGGUGGGAGAGGGUGACGGUGAGCAUCGCCGCAGAGGGACAAGCCGGCACACGGACACCCCCGGGACAUGCAGGAACGAGUCCUCACACGCCUGUGGCCCACUCAUGGGUGAAAGCUUUGGCAGGUGGUGACAACUUAGACGUCAAACUUGGGUGAACCGGGAGACAUAAAUCCCAGUAUUUGGGAUUAGUGCAGGUAAUUUGUUUUAAAGACAGUCAAAUCCCUUUCCUGGAGGUGCCUGCUUGUCACAGGAGAUGUUCCUCAUCUCCAGGAGAGUUCCUCCGGUUGAACGGGUCCAGCGGUCUCUCUGGGGACAUGGUCUCUGGGGUUGCUAAUCACUGGGUUUGGGGAUUUUUUUUCCAAACACUUGUGGGUGAUUGCUUCCUCCUCCUCCUCCUCCCUUUUGUCUUUCUGCAGCAUCACAGGGUUGGGAAGGACCAUCUGCUGAUUUGAUUAAUGGCCCUUUUCUGAAAAAGCAGCAGAGACAAAUGUCCUCCUGAACAUGGCAAAGAGAAAUGGAGGAACAGGCUGGCUAAUUUUCAGCCAUUAUUUUGGAACCCAAACUCCUUCCCAGUAUCAAUUUAGCUAUUAUUUCAAAAACUAAUUAAUCUUCACUCAGGCAGCUCCGGGGGACCUGUGUUUAGAUAAUUAACAGCCCGUGGAUUAUGAAAAGUCUUGCCUUCGGAUCCUACUCCAGUGCUUGCCUUUGAGAACGCUCCUAUCCAACUCCUGCUUACCAACUCCUUCCAUCAAUCCAUCUUUUUUUGACAAUUAAGAGCAAAUAAUUAGCCAUGAUGGAUUUUGCUUGCUUUCUUGCAGCUCAGUUCCAUUUUUUUUUUUUUUUUUUUUUUUUUUGGUCCUUAAAUGUUCUUCAGUUGGGCAAUCUUUUUUUGGGUGGUUUCGCAGCUAAUUCCAGCCAAAGCAGGGCAAGUCACUGCCGUUCCCAGGAGGAUGCGGAGAAAGGUUUUAUUUGGCCGACCGAGGAGCUGGGCGAUAAGGACUUUGAGCUGUGUUUCCUGGGAUCCUGAGCUACUGAUGGACCAUUCUUGGUGUCCUUGAGACGCCUGCUGCUGUCCCCAUGCCAGCGCGGGGAGAUUUCCAACCAAACCUCCCCAUCUUGGGCUCGGUUCAUUGAAGGAAGCAAAGAGGAUUUUGGACCUUCCUGUCCUGUGGUACCUAUGAGCAGAGUGGCAGAUGGAUGUGGCCGUGGCCGCCCACAUUUGGGCUGUCCAGAGCCGACGGAUGUCUGGAAGAGUCCUACAAGCCUGGCUGGGCAGGAGAGGACCUGUGGUCAUGCAUCGCUAGCACCAUUGCUGAGACCAAACCCUGGCUUGGGUAGGCUUUAGUGCAAGUUUUGCCUUCUGAAGCAGGGUUUAUACGUGUGUCCUGUUUUCCUACACUGCCUGGCAGGGUUUGCCCACCUGUGUAUGUCCAGCGGGGUCAGAUUUGGGGGUGGGGCAGGAAACCUUCACCCAGAGCAAAGCCCAAGACACCCACGUCCUCAGGAAUUCUGUAGUUUCUUUCAAUGUUCCCUCAAUUUUGGAGGAGAGGAAUAUGAGGAAGAGAGAAAAUGAUUCCCGUUACGCGGGUGGGGGUUAAGAGCACCUUCCCUGGGGCAGAGCGAGGGGCCAACCACCUCCUGAGCCCGGCUCGUCUCUGGGCUGGGGUGGCAUAAGGAGAUUCCUCAGGUUACUCCGGCUUUAAAUAGCUAGGCGUGGAUUGGGGCUGGAGCAGAAAGAAAUACUUCCUGAUGAGCUGCUUACUUUCUCAAACAGAGGAUGUUUGUGUCCGAUAAAUCUCCGCAGGCAGAACUCCUUGGUCGAGCAGUUUGACUCCUAAUUAAACAUUUACCGAGAUGGCACCUCGCCCUGCCUCGAGAAAUAUCGUCCUUUCACCUCCGCGUGGCUCUCGCCUCCUUUGCAACGCCGCAGUUUAAGGAGAGCCAUUUAAAGCCUCGGCUCCAACAAAACGGAGCAAAGCAAUUCUCUCUUCACCUUUCCCAUCUCUCUCUGUUUUCCCCCCUCUGUGAAUAAAGUUUGCGAGAGGCCCUGGAGCUCCGGCUUCUCGGAAAGCAAAGGGCUCUCUUGGGAGGGCUGGAAAUCUCCCCGUCAGUAGGAUGCCAUCUCCUUCCAACCGCAAUCAAAGAGAACAGGUACCCAGGGAGGGAGCCGGAGCAUCGCAGCUCCCCGGGGAGAGCGGGGAGGCUGAUGGAAAUGUCACCCCCCGCAUCGGCGGGCGCUGGGGAGAGAUGGAGGCGGGGGGGGAGCUGCGUGGGGUCGUCCAUCAGCCAGGCGUGGCUGUUUGGGGUGGCUGCAUCCUUCAGAGAGUUGAGCUUUCGGGGAAAGGCGGUUUGGCUUGUCCUGGGUUUUAACGACGUGCUACGAUAUACUCUGUUGUGGGGACCAAGCGUCUUCGGGGGAAGAGUGAUCUCUGGUUUGAGCUGAUCUGAAUCGAAGCAGAAGCGCAACGAUGCUGCCGUGGGGGUGUGAGUGAAGCCGACACAAGGCCCCCCACGUCAGCCAGAGCCCAUGUCUCGUACAGCACGGCCCGAGGGCUGCCGGGGGGAGGGAGGGACCACAGGGCGCCCCACCUUUGGGAUGAUGCUGUGCAGGGUGGAAAGGCCUGGGACGCCCCAUUGCCAUGGGGACCUGCCUGCAUCUGCUCAUUGCAGCUCCCUGGGUCUCCCCCGUCCCCCCUGCCCCGGCUAUCCAUCCUCCCAUCUCCCACCCGUCUGCCCCCCCAGCACAAAGCUGUCCGGACUGCGCUCCUGCGCAAUCCUGCCCCGGAGCUCACGGCAAACCGAGGGCUUUCCCCCGUCCUCCUGCCUCUCGGGGUUCCUUCACAUAGAUAAAAAUCAAAAUUGGUGGUUUCGGAGCCCCUGCAGCCCCCUGUCCCCACCCCACCCCCCCCACACCUGCACCCCCUGCGUUUAUUUUGCAGGCAGGCUGUGAGGAGGGGACCCAUCUCCCUCCCUCCGCUUCCCGCGCUGGCCUGGGCUUAUCUCCUUCCAAUUAAAUAAGUGCAGAUAGUGGGUUUAAUAAGGCCCUGCCUAUGAAAGAUUACUAACGAUUUCAUUUCCAGCGUGUCGUGAAUUAUGAGGCAGCCUGCAAAACAAAGCCGAGCGGGGACAGGCUUGGCGGCUAAUUACUGUCCCCCACGCUGCCACCGCUGCUAGCCCGGCCCCUAAUUGCUCCCUGUGCCUGAUUGCCUUUUGCUGGUGGUUGUGGUUCGUUCGCGGCUCUCGCCUGGCGCUCGGCUGUUGCCGCUUCUCUCUCUGCUUCCCCCACCCCCCGCCCCCCUUUCUUCAAGUUUAUUAAUGAAAACCUUAUCUGUCUGUGCAGAUAAUGCCAGAAAUAAUUAGUACUCAGUGAGGUCUGUCGUGCUCCGCUCCUCUCCUCUCCCCCCACCCUGCCCUGAUCGCCUGCCUGUUUGCAGUUUCCCAGGUGCUUGGUUAGUGCUGGGGAUGGUUUUUUGGGGUUUUUUUUUUUAGACCUUUCUCACCCUGGGCAGCUUUCAGCCUUCCUGGCUGCCCCAGGCUCGGGGCUGUGCUGGAAAAACUCCUCUGGAGGGGACAUCGGGGAGAAGGGGACCAACCGCAUCUGCAAAUCCCUCCUUAAAAUCAUCCGAGUUUUCCUUGCUCGGGGCAACCUGCAGGAUGGGAUCGGUCUCCAGGGACCUGCAGGUCCCCUCUUGUCCCAUCCCUGCUGGAAAGCGAGGGGCAGCCCCACUUUUGCAUCGGGGACCUGUCCCAGCUCUUCUCCGGGUCUUUUUUUUUUUUUUUUUUUUUUAGUGUUAUUACGUUUAUAUUCGUCAUUUCUUGGUUUAAAUCUUUCAGCCUGAUAAAGGAAGACAGCGCUUCUCGAGUGCCUGGGAUGGCAUAAAUAAUUCCGUUGCCGAGAGAGAGAUUUACAGUGAUAUAAAUGUCAGGAGUGAGCCCAGUUUGUAUUAAUGGCCUUAUUAGUUAUGUUGCUGUAAAAUACUGAUACUCCAGUUGUUAAGCGGCCAUGGUUUUGCUCUGCGGCAUUAAUUCAAUAAAUUGGGCCUUUUUGAUAUAAAUCUUAAAGCCUGAUGAACCCCAUUAGAAAAUCCUUCAUGAUAUGUCAGAUAUCUUCAAAGGGCGUUGACGGAGAUAGACCUGGGAAUAAAAAAGCUGUUUGGUGUGCGAGUAGGGGGCAAAGCCGGCGAGUCCCCCACCCCCGUGCCUGGGCUGCAGCGGCAGCAUCCCCCUGUGGCACGGGGAUGCUGUGGGAUGGGGGUGUUGCACCUGCACCCCUGGCCGCAGCAGCUCCGGUCCUGCCCAGAGCCACCCCGGCCCUUGGAGGUCUCCUGGCCACAGAGGGGCUCAGGGUGGGCUUGGGGUAUUCAGCCACUGGCUACAGAAACCACGUCUCAACCUGCAUCCCCGAGGUCAGGUCCGGACACCUCCAGCCAGCCGGAGGCUGACGUGGCUCUGUCCCCAAGCUCCUGCUCGCCAAGGCUUGGAGAGCAGGUUGCAGCCUGGCUCUGGUCUCUGGAGGAGAGGGAUAGGGAGAGAAGGCCAGUGCCUGGCUGGGGCUGGGAGGGUGACACCGUGUCUAGAGGGAGAAGAUGCCCGUAGCGCUGCUCGCAUCCCUCCCUGUGCCCUCCCCUGCAGUGUCCCCAUCACCGCCUCUGCUUCGCUGCUGUCACCUCCUUCAGCGCAUUAGUCCGGAGGUGAGCUGACAGCAGGGACAUCUCUCCUUGUCUGACCCGUGCUUCCUGAGGUCUCCGUCCUUACCCCCCUCCCACCGGGCUUCCAUCCUCCUCCCAGCCCCGCGCUGCUGUGAGAGGUGCCAUCGCUGUCCCCAUCACGGCUGUCCCUUCCCCUUGUGCCGGAGCCGCUGCUCGUGCCACGGCUCUUUUGCAA